CUCAUCCUAUCUUGUCCUUAAUUGCAAUUGGAUUUUUUGGGACGGGGUGGAUGUUAGCCUUGCCUCCCUACAUGAUAUGGGAUACACUAGAAUUGGAGAAAUGUCGUGACCCAAAUUACAUCGGGACUGAAGCGGGGAGUCCAAAGUCGAAAUGAAGUUCAUUGCAAUUCAUGCCCCACAUAUAUUUUAAGGUCUGUUCAAUUUGCGUUCCAAUUUCUUCACAAGGUCCCAAUAACAUAUGAGAUGGAAUUCAUGUAGCUUGAUGGUUUUAUGUAAUGUAAUUAUGACUUUUCAGAGCA